rnacentral:rRNA from 1 species
UACGUAGGCAGCAAGCGUUGUUCGGAGUUACUGGGCGUAAAGGGUGUGUAGGCGGCUUCGUAAGUUCGGUGUGAAAUCUCCGGCUUAACUGGGAGGGUGCGCCGAAAACUGCGAAGCUGGAGCGCAGGAGAGGAAAGCAGAAUUCCGUGGUGUAGACGGUGAAAUGCGUAGAUAUCAGGGAGGAAUACCGGUGGUGAAGGCAGAUCUCUGGGCUGUAACUGACGCUGGAGGAG